UCCGCGAGGGGGCCUGCCAAGUCUGUCGUGAAAUCCCGGGGCUCAACCCCGGGUCUGCGGUGGAAACAGGCGGGCUAGAGUGUGUGAGGGGCAGACGGAACACCUGGUGUAGCGGUGGAAUGCGUGGAUAUCAGGUGGAACACCGAUGGCGAAGGCGGUCUGCUGGCACACAACUGACCCUCAGGGACGAAAGCGUGGGUAGCAAACA
rnacentral:rRNA from 1 species